GAGUGCUUACAGCUCUUUUAGAAUUUGUCCAGCAGGUCUUCCAGCUUUUACCAGAAGGCACCGCA